rnacentral:lncRNA from 1 species
AAAAAGCUAUUUAGAUAAUUUUAGUAGGAUAAAUUUAAAAAUUUUGACUAGUAGUAAUUGAUAAAUCAGUAAAACCCCUAUAAAUUAAUAUAGCAUCUUAAUAAUUAUCGCAUCACUUAAUUACAACACUGCUACAUCACUUCUAACAAUUAACGACUGAUCAAUAUUUAAUCAACUAAAUUGAAUCAUAAGACUUUAUUAUUGUAACAAUUAUAAAAGUUCAAGCUAAAAUUAUAAUAAAUUAAAGUUCGAGAACUAAAAUUUCAUCAUGUGAAUCAUAGUU